ensembl:lncRNA
GGGGGUGUGCGGUGCGCGGAGCGGCGGGGGGUUGGGCUGCCCGCAGCCGCUCCCCGUGCGUGAAUAGUUGUCGGUAACAUCAACCUGACGUCAUCCCCGGGUAAAAAGAUCCCUCUUUUGUUCUCCUUCCCUCCCACCGCUCCCCCUUCGAAAAUGAAAAGCGUGAACAUUUGCGAAAAAUAAAAACUAACGAGGAUUGCUCUCCCCCACGUUAAUGGCCGCGCACGGGGGGAUGUAGCGCGGAGGAUCCUGCCCGGGCUGCGCCGCGCCGCGCCGCGCCGUAAUGAAGGCGCGGGCCCUUUGAUCCGGGCUUCUGCAGGCUGCCUCUCUUUUCUUAGUUCCCUCUGCUUCCCUUUUCUGCACCCUUAAAUAUGAAUGGUGAACCGAGAAGAGAGGAGGCCAAGAGGAAAAUGUGUCUUACUGAGACUUGCCAGCUAUCCAAGUUGCAUGCAGAGAGACAGUUCCAGCUCAUGCGUCUGGCUCGGACAGCAGCAUCGGCUAUCAAACACCCUGUUGCCUGCCUUGCUCCAGGCUGGAGUAACUGCUAUGAAAGGCUGGUCAGAACGUGGGACUGGAAAAGCACACCCCCCCCAUGUUGUGCUUGGUAGGCUCCUCUCGACAUUAUGCACUGACGUGAAAGGAUAUGGCUUUCCUGCUGACUUCAGCAAGAGGUGGUGCCAGGCUUAUUCCCUGUGGAAGCCAUCUCAAGACCAGCUAUUGCACUAUGAAUCCCUUCUGCCUUGGAGGAUAACCUGCCCUGGUCUUAGCAUCCGUCAUCCUGCAGCCACCAGGAGAGGGGUAACUCCUGACACUGCUCAUACUUUCAUGCUGGACUGUCCCCUUUUUUUUAUUAUACUAAAGGACAGGAAAGGAAUGUGCCAUGGUUUCAUUACUUUUGAGGAGGAAAAACAGCAACAAAGAAAAGAAAAUAGCACUCCAGUGCAAAUAUCCAGAUUUGCAACAUCCCUUGAUUUUUGUCAACAAUUAACAGAAGUGUGAUACUGGAGGCUUUUAUUAAUUGAAUAAAGCCUAGUUUUAUUUUUCUUUUCAAAAUCAUUAUCAUAUAUAUGUAUUUUUCCUUCUUUGUGUUGAAAUUGGUGAGGGUCAUCAGUACUGGCAACAGGCCUGAUGUUGUCAAGUGCUGCACUCCCCUUAACAUCAAUAGAGCCUGAAGAGUAACAAACUUGAUGCAAGAGGAGGCCUCAGAGGAGAUUGCCCUGAAGCAAAUAAAAAUUACAUCCUCUAUCGUUGUCUGUACUUAUUAUUUCCAAGUAUUCAGAUAAUUUUAAGAUGUAUAUAUGAAAGGAAAAGAUACAAACUCAGCUUCACUCUGUCUUUGACGCAUAAUGGAUAUCCCAAAAUAAGGUAUAUUGCCACUUAGGCCUUCUUUUAUGUAACUAGUGAAAUAAAUGAAUAUCUUCAUGGGAGAAUUAAAACUGUGAAAGGUAUGAAAGCCCCCGAGAAGGGGACUGUUGCCUCUGUGACUUGAGUGUCUAUAAACCUAAUGUAGGUCUCUUAUCCAAGUGUUCAUGGUUAGGAGGGGUGAGUCUAGUCCGUAUUCACUGAGAUGAUAAUGAAACUUAGGACAGGACGAUUUGUAAAUGAUAAUAUCCUUUAAUUUCUGUUUAAGGAAGGUGUGCACUCGAAUGGUUCCAGUAACUGUGUUUGCUAGAGCUGUUAGCACCUGAAGUCAAAAAACAAUGUAGCCAACAAAAAAGGAAUGAUUUUUGGGAGGGAAUCCUAGAGAAUGGGAUUUUAGUGGGGACAAGAAGAGGCAGUGUGGGAAAGAAGAAUAAGAGUAAGGUCUUGGAAGAAGGGACAGGAAAGUUAAGCUGAAUAUACCUAACUGACAUAUUAGUAAAUGCUAAUGGCCACAGCACCUCUUCAUUUAGGACCUCAAAGAAAAGUUGUUUUAGGGAAAGAAAAUAACUUCUCUUGUACGUGGAUGAUGGUCCCCUCCUAAACUAUGCUUUUGAGUCAAAGGAGAGAAACCACUGCUUUUAAGGAAAUGCUCAGCAGUUCAGCUGAGCUAUUUAGUGUCUGUUUAGGAGUGAGAUGACUCCUCCCUUGCCUGUUUCUUUCUGUUGAUGAAAAUAAAGUUGAGCGCUGUUAACUGAGAAUGUGAAUCUACGGUUUAUCAGAUGCUAUCAAGCAAUCUGUAAACAUGCAUUCACCUCCCAAUAGCUAACUAAACUGCCAAACAAGUAUUUUCUCAACAGAUUUUCUGCAUAAUGUGAGUAGGGCUUUUAGGGGAUAGAGGAGACUUGCAAGGCCGAUAUAUUUAAGAAAAGAUUAAAUGAGAUAUUUUUGGUAAAUUGCAUUUCCUUGUUAGUCAUCACAUCUCUUUUCAUUCUGAGAAACUGCCCUCUUCAGAUGUGUUCAUUUUGUUUGGCAGAAGUGCUGAUAACUCCAGAUGUUGCUGAUUCUUUUUCAGUUCAUUGCCUUAGGAAACUGUAGUUGCACCUGAGAGAAAAUAGAAGCCAACCUGGAAGAAAAAGAAAAGACAUAUAUAAAGCUUUGCUAGAGGGAAAGGAAA